GCAAUUUCUUUUGGAAUGCAAGAUUAGUUUUCAACCAAGAAAAGGAAGCACAAAGCGGAACCCUGAAGGGUUCAGCUCAUCUCCAUUUCUUUAAUGACACUAAUACCUCCACUCCAUAUUAGACGGAUGACAUGAUUCCUUAACAAUGCUUAUAUAGAAAUGAAGAGGACUUCAUUUGAAAACAGUUUUGCUGUCGCUUUAAUCUCUCCCCCACUUGUGUUUUUUUUUUUUUU
rnacentral:misc_RNA from 1 species